UACGUAGGGUGCAAGCGUUAAUCGGAAUUACUGGGCGUAAAGCGUGCGCAGGCGGUUUUGUAAGUCUGUCGUGAAAUCCCCGGGCUUAACCUGGGAAUGGCGAUGGAGACUGCAAGGCUAGAGUUUGGCAGAGGGAGGUAGAAUUCCACGUGUAGCAGUGAAAUGCGUAGAGAUGUGGAGGAACACCGAUGGCGAAGGCAGCCCCCUGGGUCAAAACUGACGCUCAUGCACGAAAGCGUGGGGAGCAAACAGG
rnacentral:rRNA from 1 species